UGGCUCACGAUGAACGCUGGCGGCGUGCCUAAUACAUGCAAGACGAGCGAACGGACGAGAAGCUUGCUUCUCUGAUGUUAGCGGCGGACGGGUGAGUAACACGUGGAUAACCUACCUAUAAGACUGGGAUAACUUCGGGAAACCGGAGCUAAUACCGGAUAAUAUUUUGAACCGCAUGGUUCAAAAGUGAAAGACGGUCUUGCUGUCACUUAUAGAUGGAUCCGCGCUGCAUUAGCUAGUUGGUAAGGUAACGGCUUACAAAGGCAACGAUGCAUAGCCGACCUGAGAGGGUGAUCGGCCACACUGGAACUGAGACACGGUCCAGACUCCUACGGGAGGCAGCAGUAGGGAAUCUUCCGCAAUGGGCGAAAGCCUGACGGAGCAACGCCGCGUGAGUGAUGAAGGUCUUCGGAUCGUAAAACUCUGUUAUUAGGGAAGAACAUAUGUGUAAGUAACUGUGCACAUCUUGACGGUACCUAAUCAGAAAGCCACGGCUAACUACGUGCCAGCAGCCGCGGUAAUACGUAGGUGGCAAGCGUUAUCCGGAAUUAUUGGGCGUAAAGCGCGCGUAGGCGGUUUUUUAAGUCUGAUGUGAAAGCCCACGGCUCAACCGUGGAGGGUCAUUGGAAACUGGAAAACUUGAGUGCAGAAGAGGAAAGUGGAAUUCCAUGUGUAGCGGUGAAAUGCGCAGAGAUAUGGAGGAACACCAGUGGCGAAGGCGACUUUCUGGUCUGUAACUGACGCUGAUGUGCGAAAGCGUGGGGAUCAAACAGGAUUAGAUACCCUGGUAGUCCACGCCGUAAACGAUGAGUGCUAAGUGUUAGGGGGUUUCCGCCCCUUAGUGCUGCAGCUAACGCAUUAAGCACUCCGCCUGGGGAGUACGACCGCAAGGUG
rnacentral:rRNA from 1 species